AGCACAGUCAGUUCCUCUUGUCAACCUUCAUUUCUUAAUGAAACAGUUCAUACAAAAACUUCAAUCUCUUCAGUAACACCUGAACCUAAUUACAACCAGGUCAGGGGGAAGAACAGAGGAUCUUAUCAGAAUUACACAGGCAGUAUUGAUAGGAACAACUUGAACAGAAAUCAAAGUGAGGAAUAUGCACUGGAUGAGGAAAGCAAGGACACUGUUUCAUUCUGUUCCUUGGACCAUUCCUCCUCACAAGGAGGCACCAUCAACAACAGCAAUCCUGUUUACUGUGCAUCUGGCAAGUGUCCUGUACAAAACACCAGCAACUAUGAUGGCAAGGAUUUUGACUGUGAACUUAGCAAAAGCAGUAGAUAUGAGAACAGCAACAUGUGCAAUUUUUGUGACUGUACUGCCACAGAGUGCUGUGACGAAGCAAGAAGUACCAACACUAGCAAAUUCCCCUUUUCUU